AUAUACAAAAUGAUGAUUUCAUAGUUCAACUGCAAAUAUUAUGAUGACAUUUUAUUUAUGUCUUUCGCUCCUAGCUGAAUGAUUUA